rnacentral:rRNA from 1 species
ACUCAAAUGAAUUGACGGGGGCCCGCACAAGCGGUGGAGCAUGUGGUUUAAUUCGACGCAACGCGAAGAACCUUACCAAGGCUUGACAUGGGGAAGACUGGACGAGAGAUCGUCCUUCUCUAGCAAUAGAGCUUCCCACACAGGUGCUGCAUGGCUGUCGUCAGCUCGUGUCGUGAGAUGUUGGGUUAAGUCCCGCAACGAGCGCAACCCUCGUUUCUAGUUGCCAUCAUUCAGUUGGGCCCUCUAGAGAGACUGCCGCGAAUAACGCGGAGGAAGGUGGGGACGACGUCAAGUCAUCAUGGCCCUUACGUCUUGGGCUACACACGUGCUACAAUGGAUGUUACAAAGGGUCGCAAGAGCGCAAGCUGGAGCCAAUCCCCAAAAGCAUCCUCAGUUCAGAUUGAGGUCUGCAACUCGACCUCAUGAAGGUGGAAUCGCUAGUAAUCGCGGAUCAGAACGCCGCGGUGAAUACGUUCCCGGGCCUUGCACACACCGCCCGU